rnacentral:snRNA from 1 species
GGAUGUGGGGGCAAUCUGCAACAUCUGUCACUCCGCUGAUUGCCAGGGUUGAUUCAGCUGAUCUGACUGGCUAGGUGGGUGUUCCCUUCCUCCCUCACCACUCCAUGUAUGUCUCUCCUGAAGCUGCAAAAGGACAGUCUUCCCCAGUAGAGACGUACCAUUCAUCAGUCUCU